GGGACGGCACGUCACGCGUCACUUCCUCCGCUUUCGCCUGUCUCCGUGCGAGCGUCUUCUCGGUAAAGAUUCGAUCUAGGGUUGGAAUGCACAAAUCAUUCAAGAGGAGUUGCGGUGUCGAGUCGACCGCAGCAGCACCGGCGUGGGCGGUGAUUCGUCGGGAGGUGACUCGUGGAGUUGUCGCCCGGCUCCGAGGGGUUGGCGUCACGCCUUCAACAACCUGGUUUGCUCGGAUCGGUGGCUGCUUCUUCCAGGUAGGUCGGAAAAUUAUGCGUCUCUUCUAGGAUUUCAGCCGGGAAUUUGUUAUUUGAUUCUGCGGAAUGGGUAAUCGACUGUUCUUAUGAUGAUAUACCAUUUGCUUCCCAAGUCUCGGUUAAUUCAUGCUUCAUGCCCGUCGGUAUGUUGUUCUUAUGAAUGCAUAGCAAAUCAAAGACUUUGUUGCGGAUCCACCCGUUGAUGGUGUUAGAUUAACUUAUUCAUCUCAGAUUUUGUGAGGAAUAAGCAGAGACUUCACGGUACUCGCUCGAUUAGUCUCCUUGUUCUUUGUUUCCAAGGCGAAUUGGGUGGGCGAAGGCUCGGGUUGGACAUGUUUGGGAGCCGCCCCCGGAUCCAGUUAUCCGACAACGUUUCUUGUCGGGUGUCACGAUCAAAGCCCCAAUUGAUCUUUCGUUUCUUAUUCUUUCUUGUUCUUUCGAUUCUUGNNNNN
rnacentral:lncRNA from 1 species